rnacentral:misc_RNA from 1 species
UACGAAGGGGGCUAGCGUUGUUCGGAAUCACUGGGCGUAAAGCGCACGUAGGCGGACGUUUAAGUCAGGGGUGAAAUCCCGGGGCUCAACCCCGGAACUGCCUUUGAUACUGGAAGUCUUGAGUCCGAGAGAGGUGAGUGGAAUUCCGAGUGUAGAGGUAAAAUUCGUAGAUAUUCGGAAGAACACCAGUGGCGAAGGCGGCUCACUGGCUCGGUACUGACGCUGAGGUGCGAAAGCGUGGGGAGCUAAUGGG